GACGGAGGAUGCAAGUGUUAUCCGGAAUCACUGGGCGUAAAGCGUCUGUAGGUGGUUUAAAAAGUCUAUUGUUAAAAAUUGAAGCUUAACUUCAAAGAUGCAAUGGAAACUUUUAAACUUGAGUAUGGUAGGGGUAGAGGGAAUUUCCAGUGGAGGCGGUGAAAUGCGUAGAUAGUUGGAAAGACCACCGAUGGCGAAGGCACUCUACUGGGCCAUUACUGACACUGAGAGACGAAAGCUAGGGGAGCAAAUGGG
rnacentral:rRNA from 1 species